UGAGGAAUAUUGGGCAAUGCCCGCAAGGGUGACCCAGCAACGCCGCGUGGAGGAUGAAUGUCGUAAGAUUGUAAACUCCUGUUAGAGGGGAAGAAUAGUACCGGUUGGACCGGUAUAUGACUGUACCCUCAGAGAAAGCCCCGGCUAACUCCGUGCCAGCAGCCGCGGUAAUACGGAGGAUGCAAGCGUUAUCCGGAUUCAUUGGGUUUAAAGGGUGCGUAGGCGGCUUUUUAAGUCAGUGGUGAAAUCCUGCCGCUUAACGGUAGAAUUGCCAUUGAUACUGAGAAGCUUGAGUUCAGUUGAGGUAAGCGGAAUGUGUAGUGUAGCGGUGAAAUGCUUAGAUAUUACACAGAACACCGAUUGCGAAGGCAGCUUACUAAACUGUUACUGACGCUGAUGCACGAAAGCGUGGGGAUCGAACA
rnacentral:rRNA from 1 species